rnacentral:rRNA from 1 species
GACGAACGCUGGCGGCAUGCCUAACACAUGCAAGUCGAACGAGACCUUCGGGUCUAGUGGCGCACGGGUGCGUAACGCGUGGGAACCUGCCCUUAGGUUCGGAAUAACUCCCCGAAAGGGGUGCUAAUACCGGAUAAUGUCUUCGGACCAAAGAUUUAUCGCCUUUGGAUGGGCCCGCGUUGGAUUAGCUAGUUGGUAGGGUAAAAGCCUAACAAGGCGACGAUCCAUAGCUGGUCUGAGAGGAUGAUCAGCCACACUGGGACUGAGACACGGCCCAGACUCCUACGGGAGGCAGCAGUGGGGAAUAUUGGACAAUGGGCGAAAGCCUGAUCCAGCAAUGCCGCGUGAGUGAUGAAGGCCUUAGGGUUGUAAAGCUCUUUUACCCGGGAUGAUAAUGACAGUACCGGGAGAAUAAGCUCCGGCUAACUCCGUG